UACAGAGGGUGCGAGCGUUGUUCGGAAUUAUUGGGCGUAAAGGGCGCGUAGGCGGUGCGGUAAGUCACCUGUGAAAUCUCCUGGCUCAACUGGGAGCUUGCAGGCGAAACUGCCGUGCUGGAGUGUGGGAGAGGUGCGUGGAAUUCCCGGUGUAGCGGUGAAAUGCGUAGAUAUCGGGAGGAACAUCUGUGGCGAAAGCGGCGCACUGGACCACAACUGACGCUGAGGCGCGAAAGCUAGGGGAGCAAACAGG
rnacentral:rRNA from 1 species